GACGAACGCUGGCGGCGUGCUUAACACAUGCAAGUCGAACGGAAAGGCCCUGCUUUUGUGGGGUGCUCGAGUGGCGAACGGGUGAGUAACACGUGAGUAACCUGCCCUUGACUUUGGGAUAACUUCAGGAAACUGGUGCUAAUACCGGAUAGGAGCUCCUGCUGCAGGGUGGGUGUUGGAAAGUUUCGGCGGUUGGGGAUGGACUCGCGGCUUAUCAGCCUGUUGGUGGGGUAGUGGCUUACAAAGGCUUUGACGGGUAGCCGGCCUGAGAGGGUGACCGGCCACAUUGGGACUGAGAUACGCCGCAGACUCCUACGGGAGGCAGAAGUGGGGAAUAUUGCACAAUGGGCGGAAGCCUGAUGCAGCAACGCAGCGUGCGGGAUGACGGCCUUCGGGUUGUAAACAGCUUUCGCCUGUGACGAAGAGUGAGUGACGGUAAUGGGUAAAGCAGCACCGGCUAACUACGUG
rnacentral:rRNA from 1 species